AUUUGUGAAAAAUAGUUCAGAAAAAGAAAUUUUAUAAAAAUUGCUAUAUCUUUUUUCAAAUGGGUCUGACUCUGCCACAUAUAUUAUAUAGGAGCUGGCAAGGCUAGAAGACAGAGCAUGCUCUCUAGCCUUUCCCAUGUCCAAUUUGGCUCCCAUAGAG